rnacentral:rRNA from 1 species
CCGCGUUGUAAUUUUGUGAGGCAUCUCCGGGUAGGGCGCCGGCCUAAGUUCCUUGGAACAGGACGUCACAGAGGGUGAGAAUCCCGUGCUUGGCUGGCUGUCCCCGUCCAUGUGAGGUGUCUUCGACGAGUCGAGUUGUUUGGGAAUGCAGCUCAAAAUGGGUGGUAAAUUUCAUCUAAAGCUAAAUAUUGGUGGGAGACCGAUAGCGCACAAGUAGAGUGAUCGAAAGAUGAAAAGCACUUUGAAAAUAGAGUUAAAAAGUACGUGAAAUUGUUGAAAGGGAAGCGCUUGAGACCAGACUUCGGUAAGGGGUGAUCAGCCGUCCUUCUGGGCGGUGCACUUGCCCCCCUCCGGGCCAGCAUCGGUUGAGGCGGCGGGAUAAAGGUCCCGGGAAUGUGGCUCCUUCACGGGAGUGUUAUAACCCGGGUGAAUGCCG